rnacentral:rRNA from 1 species
UACGUAGGUGACCAGCGUUGUCCGGAUUGACUGGGCGUAAAGCGCACGCAGGCGGAUACGCGCGUGGGGUGUGAAAUCUGGCCGCUUAACGGCCAGGCGCCAUCCCAUACGGCGUGUCUGGAGCUGUGCAGAGGUCGGUGGAAUUGCCGGUGUAGUGGUGAAAUGCGUAGAGAUCGGCAGGAACACCCAGGGGGAAACCAGCCGACUGGGCACAUGCUGACGCUGAGGUGCGAGAGCGUGGGGAGCGAACCGG